AGAGUUUGUCCUGGCUCAGAGCGAACGCUGGCGGCAGGCCUAACACAUGCAAGUCGAACGGGCACCUUCGGGUGUCAGUGGCAGACGGGUGAGUAACACGUGGGAACGUGCCCUUCGGUUCGGAAUAACCCAGGGAAACUUGGGCUAAUACCGGAUACGUCCGAGAGGAGAAAGAUUUAUCGCCGAAGGAUCGGCCCGCGUCUGAUUAGCUUGUUGGUGAGGUAACGGCUCACCUAGGCGACGAUCAGUAGCUGGUCUGAGAGGAUGAUCAGCCACACUGGGACUGAGACACGGCCCAGACUCCUACGGGAGGCAGCAGUGGGGAAUAUUGGACAAUGGGCGAAAGCCUGAUCCAGCCAUGCCGCGUGAGUGAUGAAGGCCCUAGGGUUGUAAAGCUCUUUCGGCGGGGACGAUAAUGACGGACCCGCAGAAGAG
rnacentral:rRNA from 1 species